CUCAAAGAUUCGAAUAGCACCUACAUCUACUCCAUCGCUUCUUAUAGUCCACUAUCAUCUCGCUGAAAUUAUCCACAAAAUCACUUUAAGUCACCAUCCCUAAUUUGAGCUACCCAAAAAAUUUAGACAGCUUUAUUGAACUCGCAGAUAGCAAAAAUCCCUAGAUUGCUGCAGCAAUUGCUAGCAAGAAUAGAGAAAAUUGGCCGUGAAUUUUGGGGAAAGCCAGAGUUCGAAAACUGAAUCUUAAGAAAAACAAGAGCUAAAGGAGUGAAGGCAUAAUUUGAGUAAUACUGAUGCAAGUGGAGGUGAUAAAUUUGUGGAAUACGAGGAGGAGGAGGAAGAAGAAGUAGAGGUUGGAUUUGGGUCGAGUGGUUUUUUGUUUAGAGGUGGUGGAAAUGGUGAUAGUUGGCCUUUGCCGUUACCGUGGACUCAUUGCUCCAGCCUACCCCUUAUGGCUUUGUGGUUACUGAUGUUUUAGAGACUGACCACCCCAUUAUUUAUGUCAAUUCUAUGUUUGAGAUGGUCACUGGUUACCGGGCCGAAGAGGUCCUCGGCCGCAAUUGGAGCAACAAUUUGAAACAAGAGGGCUAUGUGAGGGUUCGAUUGCCCAAAUGAAAGAGUUACGCAGAUGACAAACUACUAUACAGUCCAACUUGAUAUUGAUCAUGAGGAUGCCGUUGGACAUGAUGAUAGAGAUGGUUGAAGUCUAACAUUGGUGCUGUAGUCGAUGCUUUAGUGUAGAAAUCUAGUACUCUAUUUUUUGGGAAGGAUAUGUAUUGGCAAUUAGUGCUUGAAUUGAUUAUGUGGGAUUUGGGACCCAAUGUUUUUGGUUUACUUUUGUUUUGAUGAAUUUAUAGAUGUUUAUGGCCAUAUACAUGAAUUUGUGGCUUCAUUCUGCGUUAAUUUUGUCUUUCGUCAAAUUGAAUGUUUUGCUAUAAUUUGUUGGAAAUGCUAUGGCAAUAUUGUAUUCGUAAAGGUCAAUUUCAGCUCUUCAAAAUAAAGCUCAGUGACAACCUUCGAAGGUUGUCACUGUAGACUUCAAAUUUGUGACGACUUUUGCUAUAUUUAUGACAAAAACAUAGGUGAAAUACUGACAA